GUGUGUUUAUCCGGUUGAGGACCGAAGACUGAUGAGUCGUGAACGCCUGGAGAAUUGGAACUGUUGUUGCUUUCCUUUUUAUCCUCAGCACAUAGCAUAUUGUCUGGCAUACAGCAGGUACUUCUGGAAAACAAAACGUCCCAGUCCUUCAAAAUCUCCCUUCCUCUUAACCACUACAAAAGAGGACUCCUCCGGACCGGGGAGGUUCAAGGAAGUAGUCCCUUUCUCUUUAUCCUAUCAGAUAAAACCACUUAGGAGGCUCUUAGCAAGGACUCAUUAACUGACUGACAAAGAAGGUUUAGUUUUCUUUGGUCUAACGUAAGUGGAUCUGCCACCCAGGGCACCUUCUUUCCUUUGUAACAGUUUAAAAGCAUCUUCUUUUGUUAUGCUAAGUACUUUGUCCCCAGCUGUACCCGUUUGAUCCAAAAUGCUGCCCAAGAAGGUCUCUCUCGUAUGUAAUAUGUAAUAUGUAAAUGUCCUCUUCCGAAUUAUGGGACACACGUUUGCAACAGAAUGUGUAGGAAUGUAUAUAUGCGUAUAGAGAGUAUGAAUAAAUCGCUGUUUACUUCUGUCUCCUACGCUGGCUUAUUUUCUGGCAGCAGCAGCUAAUCAGGACUCUAAGAAAAGUCGCCUAAUGCCACGCUCCUGCACAGAACAGUACUUCCCUCGGAGUCUCGCCUCCUUUGCUUACGCUUGUGGCAGGUCUCCAGCUGUCGGCUUGGCUCAGGGACUCUAGACCUGGCACCCCUUUUAUUUUUAAAGGACUAACCAGCCCCGCCCGCUCUUUCUCCUCUCAGUAGCCUCUGCCCUCCUCCUCCAAUCGGCGUCUGUACUUAGGGGCCAUGGCUUUGUGGGAAACCGAGUCUUUCCACUCCUCGCGUACAUUGCGCACAUAGCCAUUGGGCCUAGAUGAUCCUCCAAAGCGCUUCCAGCAACGAUUCCACUCCCCAAAGCCAGGGGGCGCUGUGCCUUCUGCUUCCCCGCCGUGCCCUCUCGCUUUUCUAGCCAUCA